CACAGAUACAGGAGUGACACAGGAGAAUGCCAUCAUGUAUGCCAUCUAUGAACCAAGCAGAUCAGGCUGUAGGAGGAGGGCUGAAAUGAAGCUGGCUGAUGAGAUCCUUCAUGUCUAGGAAUCAGUCCAGAGAGUCAUUCCCUUCAACCUUAUUCGGUCCAGUGUCAUUUUUUAAGAGAGGCAACAAAUUAUCUACUGCCACAGCUCAUGCCUUUUUCUACAAUGAUUUCAACCCAGGCGUGAGGAGAAAGAAACUCAUGACCAGAUUCUGGCCCCAUGUUCCAUCCUAUUUAUGUUGCUUUGAUGGAACAAAAGGUUUCUCUAAUGGGCCAGCUAGAGAUUCUCCUCAUGAAGGAAAAAAGUCUGUAUCACUGACUCUCA